AAAUUGAAGAGUUUGAUCAUGGCUCAGAUUGAACGCUGGCGGCAGGCCUAACACAUGCAAGUCGAACGGUAACAGGAAGCAGCUUGCUGCUUUGCUGACGAGUGGCGGACGGGUGAGUAAUGUCUGGGAAACUGCCUGAUGGAGGGGGAUAACUACUGGAAACGGUGGCUAAUACCGCAUAACGUCGCAAGACCAAAGAGGGGGACCUUCGGGCCUCUUGCCAUCAGAUGUGCCCAGAUGGGAUUAGCUUGUUGGUGAGGUAACGGCUCACCAAGGCGACGAUCCCUAGCUGGUCUGAGAGGAUGACCAGCCACACUGGAACUGAGACACGGUCCAGACUCCUACGGGAGGCAGCAGUGGGGAAUAUUGCACAAUGGGCGCAAGCCUGAUGCAGCCAUGCCGCGUGUAUGAAGAAGGCCUUCGGGUUGUAAAGUACUUUCAGCGGGGAGGAAGGUGUUGUGGUUAAUAACCACAGCAAUUGACGUUACCCGCAGAAGAAGCACCGGCUAACUCCGUGCCAGCAGCCGCGGUAAUACGGAGGGUGCAAGCGUUAAUCGGAAUUACUGGGCGUAAAGCGCACGCAGGCGGUCUGUCAAGUCGGAUGUGAAAUCCCCGGGCUCAACCUGGGAACUGCAUUCGAAACUGGCAGGCUUGAGUCUUGUAGAGGGGGGUAGAAUUCCAGGUGUAGCGGUGAAAUGCGUAGAGAUCUGGAGGAAUACCGGUGGCGAAGGCGGCCCCCUGGACAAAGACUGACGCUCAGGUGCGAAAGCGUGGGGAGCAAACAGGAUUAGAUACCCUGGUAGUCCACGCCGUAAACGAUGUCUACUUGGAGGUUGUGCCCUUGAGGCGUGGCUUCCGGAGCUAACGCGUUAAGUAGACCGCCUGGGGAGUACGGCCGCAAGGUUAAAACUCAAAUGAAUUGACGGGGGCCCGCACAAGCGGUGGAGCAUGUGGUUUAAUUCGAUGCAACGCGAAGAACCUUACCUGGUCUUGACAUCCACAGAACUUUCCAGAGAUGGAUUGGUGCCUUCGGGAACUGUGAGACAGGUGCUGCAUGGCUGUCGUCAGCUCGUGUUGUGAAAUGUUGGGUUAAGUCCCGCAACGAGCGCAACCCUUAUCCUUUGUUGCCAGCGGUUAGGCCGGGAACUCAAAGGAGACUGCCAGUGAUAAACUGGAGGAAGGUGGGGAUGACGUCAAGUCAUCAUGGCCCUUACGACCAGGGCUACACACGUGCUACAAUGGCGCAUACAAAGAGAAGCGACCUCGCGAGAGCAAGCGGACCUCAUAAAGUGCGUCGUAGUCCGGAUUGGAGUCUGCAACUCGACUCCAUGAAGUCGGAAUCGCUAGUAAUCGUGGAUCAGAAUGCCACGGUGAAUACGUUCCCGGGCCUUGUACACACCGCCCGUCACACCAUGGGAGUGGGUUGCAAAAGAAGUAGGUAGCUUAACCUUCGGGAGGGCGCUUACCACUUUGUGAUUCAUGACUGGGGUGAAGUCGUAACAAGGUAACCGUAGGGGAACCUGCGGUUGGAUCACCUCCUUACCU
rnacentral:rRNA from 2 species